rnacentral:rRNA from 1 species
GACGAACGCUGGCGGCGUGCCUAAUACAUGCAAGUCGAACGCAGUGGGGACGGGUGAGUAACACGUGGGUAACCUCCCAUCAGAGGGGAUAACACUUGGAAACAGGUGCUAAAACGAAACUUAUGGAUGGCCCCGCGGUGCGUUAGCGAGUUGUGGAGGAAACGGCUCACCAAGGCCACGAUGCAUAGCAGACCUGAGAGUGUGAUCGGCAACCCUGGGACUGAGACACGGCCCAGACUCCUACGGGAGGCAGCAGUAGGGAAUCUUCGGCAAUGGACGAAAGUCUGACCGAGCAACGCCGCGUGAGUGAAGAAGGUUUUCGGAUCGUAAAACUCUGUUGUUAGAGAAGCGGUAUCUAACCAGAAAGCCACGGCUAACUCCGUGCCAGCAGCCGCGGUAAUAC